rnacentral:rRNA from 1 species
UGAACGCUAGCGAUAGGCCUAACACAUGCAAGUCAGGGGCAGCACAUGAGUAGCAAUACGGAUGGUGGCGACCGGCGCACGGGUGAGUAACGCGUAUGCAACCUACCUAUCAGAGGGGAAUAACCCGGCGAAAGUCGGACUAAUACCGCAUAAAACAGGGACACCGCAUGGUGAUAUUUGUUAAAGAAAUUCGCUGAUAGAUGGGCAUGCGUUCCAUUAGGUAGUUGGUGAGGUAACGGCUCACCAAGCCGACGAUGGAUAGGGGAACUGAGAGGUUGGUCCCCCACACUGGUACUGAGACACGGACCAGACUCCUACGGGAGGCAGCAGUGAGGAAUAUUGGUCAAUGGGCGAGAGCCUGAACCAGCCAAGUCGCGUGAAGGAAGAAGGAUCUAUGGUUCGUAAACUUCUUUUGCAGGGGAAUAAAGUGCAGGACGUGUCCUGUUUUGUAUGUACCCUGAGAAUAGGGAUCGGCUAACUCCGUGCCAGCAGCAGC